rnacentral:tRNA from 1 species
GCUUUUGGUUCAGUGGUAGAAUGCUCGUCUGCCACGCGGGCGCUCCGGGUUCGAUUCCCGGCCGAUGCA